UGACGCUGGGGAAAAGGAAGGGGCCUGACAAUGCAAAACCUUGGGAUUUGGAGUCCAAAACACCUGGAGGGCCAAACUUUGCCUAUGCCUGGUCUAUACUGUAGAAUUAACCCAGUUUGACGCUACUUUCACUGCCACAGAUCAAUGCAAAACCUUGGGAUUUAUAAUGUGGAAGCAGAGAAGACUAAAAGUUUUUGGCAAACUAAAACUUCCUUUGAUUCCAUGCCAUAGGGCACUUAAAGGGGUAUCAAACUGAGUUAAUUCUACAGUGUAGACACACUCCCGGACCUGAUUGAAAGGGGAGAGAAAAACAAUCUGCCCCAGUUCCUUUACCUAGGUAUUAAUUAACUAAUAAUAAUAAUAAUCUUUAUUUAUAACCCGCUUUCAUCUCCCCAGGGGGACUCAGAGUGGUUCACAUGGGGACCAAGCCCGAUCAACAGAUAAAACAACACAACAACAUAUAGAAUUAAAACAGUAACAGUAAAAAAAAAUUCAUAAAAUACAUCACUCAAGAGCUAACAUGAUUUCAAACUGCACUAAGAGGCACCUGUAGCUAAGAGUUAACAUGAAAUGACAUAGCAAAGAUCAUUAAAUCUAUUAAAAGACAUUAUUAAAAGAGGAAAAAGCAUUAAAAGGGACCAAAGCUUUGCAUUGCUUGGGAUCCUUGCUCCCACCCAGCCUUCUUACCUGGACGGUGGAAAAAAAAACCCAAAGAGAGCAGGUUCAACUGCAGAGGCAAGCGCGCGUCGAGACGUCCGGUGCGAAGAUGCUGCUCUCCAUCGGGGCUUGGCUCUUAUACCCCUCCCCACUCCCCUCCCCGCCUUUCCCAAACCACACCCACCCCUCCCCUCCCGCCAUGACGUCACCGGCAGGUGAAACUGGCGCCUUGGGACAGGAAACAGAACAAGGGGGAGCGAAAGUCCCACAAAAUCAGGGGCAAACUAGAGCAAAGAACAAUGAAGCUGAAAAUCUAUGAUGCAGUACAGAACCUUCCAUCCUGAAAACACGAAGUGCUCCACUGAAGUCUUGAAAUCUUAUCCAAGAAACCCUGGGUCAACUUAUCUCCUGGUCAAUGUGAGUACGGUACCUUGAUUCUUAUUCUAUAUAAAAUGGAACUAUUCCUUUUUUUAGUUAAUAAAUAAUAAUAAAAAAACUUUAUUUAUAUAAUGCCCUAUCUCCCGGAUGGGACUCAGGGCGGUUUACAGUCAUAAAAGCAACACAAACAUUACAUAACAACAUAAUACACAUUAUAAAACAAAGUAAAAUAAUACAAUUAUAACAAUAAAUCACACUUACAUGACCAGAUCAAGGGGACGGGAACCAUAAACCCAAUAUAUUAAAAUGUAUCGUUUUAGGCUAGGGAAAUCUUAUGCAAUAUAUUCAGGCUCAGAAAUCGGCGAUAGUCCAAUAUAAUUACUCAAAAACCUGCCGACACCACCAGGUCUUCAGUUCCUUACGGUAAUUGGAUAAUGUAGGGGAUUGCCUG
rnacentral:lncRNA from 1 species